rnacentral:lncRNA from 1 species
AUUGUCUAGCAUAUCAUGUUGAGGAGUUCUGGCCAAAGAAAACUAAAGGUUCAGGGUGUUUAAACUGUUAGUAUUGCAUUGAUUUUUUGGUCAUUUCAAAUCAGGUGAACCUUCAGUUGGAACUGUGUCCGUUUCUUGUGUUAUUAUCCUGUUUUGUAUUAAGAUAUUUAGAAACCUCUUUAUACCGUUUUUUUAUUUUUAAAAUUCUAGCAGGCAAGUGGAAUCGUCGCCAACCCCUAGUAAGUAAAUUUCACUCAAUAACUUUAAAAAAUUAGUAUACAUUACACAUGAUAUUAAAUUGAAUUCUGCAUUCAGAUCGUGAGUUACCCGAAACCUAUGCUGUGUCUCCUGAACAUAUGGCUGCAUCGCAUCUUGCCCAUUCCCAUGUUCAUGUUCCACCUUUUCCCAGUGCAAUAUCCGGUGCAAUUGCAAGUGUGG